rnacentral:rRNA from 1 species
CGCUGGCGGCAGGCCUAACACAUGCAAGUCGAGCGAACCCUUCGGGGUUAGCGGCGGACGGGUUAGUAACGCGUGGGAAUAUACCCUUUGGUACGGAAUAGCCUCGGGAAACUGAGAGUAAUACCGUAUGUGCCCUUCGGGGGAAAGAUUUAUCGCCUUUGGAUCGGCCCGCGUUGGAUUAGGCAGUUGGUGGGGUAAUGGCCUACCAAGCCGACGAUCCAUAGCUGGUUUGAGAGGAUGAUCAGCAACACUGGGACUGAGACACGGCCCAGACUCCUACGGGAGGCAGCAGUGGGAAUCUUAGACAAUGGGGAAACCCUGAUCUAGCCAUGCCGCGUGAGCGAUGAAGGCCUUAGGGUUGUAAAGCUCUUUCAGCUGGGAAGAUAAUGACGGUACCAGCAGAAGAAGCCCCGGCUAACUCCGUG